AUGAAGAAGUACAAGGACCACCUCGCCUUUCUAUAUAAGGCGCACGAGAAGCUCAAGGACGAACUCAAUGCAGUGCUGAACCACCCACUAAUGCCGUCAGAAUUUGAACGAGCAUGGAAGAACCUCAUUCAGAGGUACAACUUGCAAGACGACGAAGUGAUGAAUUCACUGUGGGAUGACAGGCACGAGUGGAUCUCAUCUUACUACAAGGAAAUUUUCUGUGCUCGGAUGACUUCCACACAGAGAAGCGAGAGCAUGAACCGCAUACUGAAGAAAAUUUUUGUCAGGGAGAAGCAUGAUCUCCAUCUGUUUGCUCAGCAGGUGGACAAGUGCAUUCAGACCAGGAAGGCCGUCGAGCACUCAGAGACAGUAGCAAAUGAGUCAGAGGUAAAAACAGCAACAAAGUUUGGCUUCGAAGUUCAGCUAUCAAAAGUGUAUACAAGGGCAGUGUUUGCAGAUUUCAAAGAAACACUCUACCGUAGCACUGCAUUCAGAGCAGAACGGUGCCCUGAGAACCCGACAAAGUAUCUCGUACACCACUACAACAGAUCAGAUGCAUUUGACUGGGCAAGGCAUAAUUUCCAAGUGGUCGCCGAUGAAGAGAAAGGUGUCUACGAAUGUGAGUGCAAACUCUGGACACACACAGGCCUCUUCUGCGUCCAUGUCUUAUGCAUGCUUUCUCAUUUGAGAGUACUCAACAUUCCUGAGGUGUACAUCAUGAAGAGAUACACCCGUAACGCAAGAUCAGAUGCAAGGUUUGACAGAAGAGACUACGAACAAACAGCACUAGAUGGAACCUCGCUUUUUUGCCCUAGAAAAUUGCUGACAGAAACAGCAAUGGACCUUGCAAACAGAGCGACAAGGUCAGAC
rnacentral:rRNA from 1 species